GAUGAACGCUAGCGGCAGGCUUAACACAUGCAAGUCGAGGGGUAUGCUUCUUCGGAAGCAGAGACCGGCGCACGGGUGCGUAACGCGUAUGCAAUCUACCUUUUACAGAGGGAUAGCCCAGAGAAAUUUGGAUUAAUACCUCAUAGUAUUAUAGAAUGGCAUCAUUUUAUAAUUAAAGUCACAACGGUAAAAGAUGAGCAUGCGUCCCAUUAGCUAGUUGGAAGGUAACGGCUUACCAAGGCUACGAUGGGUAGGGGUCCUGAGAGGGAGAUCCCCCACACUGGUACUGAGACACGGACCAGACUCCUACGGGAGGCAGCAGUGAGGAAUAUUGGACAAUGGGCGCAAGCCUGAUCCAGCCAUGCCGCGUGCAGGAUGACGGUCCUAUGGAUUGUAAACUGUCUUUUAUACGAGAAGAAACACUCCUUCGUGAAGGAGCUUGACGGUAUCGUAAGAAUAAGGAUCGGCUAACU
rnacentral:rRNA from 1 species